AGCGCGGGUCGCGCGCGGCGUGCUCGCGCGCGUCACCAGUGCGGCGGGCGGUCGCGGUGCAGACGGUCGUCGUUCGAGUCGGCGUCGUGGCCCCA
rnacentral:tRNA from 1 species